rnacentral:lncRNA from 1 species
AACUCAAUACCUUUUCCCCUUAAAACCAGAGGAUAAAAGAAAAAUGAAAAAUGAACCCAAAAAAAAGAAAUCUUGCAGGUAGCUGAUGUAAAGUCGGGAUUUUCUUUUCAAUGCAAAAAAAUUAGAGUGAAAGCAGUCUCUCUCUCUCUCUCUCUCUUUACCUCUCUCUCUCUUUACCUCUCUCUCUCUCUCUCUCUCUCUCUCCCCCCCAGAGUACAGUUUCCAUAAACUUAUUUGACCUCACAAGCUGUCAAGCUCCAUGGUUUUGUUAUGGCUGGUGGCAAAUCCGAUGUGGCAUUCUUUUACAGGGAGGACUAAGUGGGAUUUGAAUCUCAGCAAAAGCAUCGCUGGUAUAAAUUAGUCUCUUUCUGAUUGACACUAUUCUUGAAUAUUUUUUCAUAGUUUCCAAGAUGUUUGUUUAAUAUCUUCAACUUCAAACUACUCAGAGAGAGAGACAGGAGACGAAAGGGUAUUCAAGCUAUUAUUUUAUUUAAUUUAAAACCAAGUAUUUUUUCGGAGAAUCAAAAUUAUGAUAUUAAGUCUGAAAACUAUUUAUUUUAUUUUCAACAUUUAAAACUAAAUCUAUAUAAAAAAAACUAAAAAAAAAACAUGCUGCUAAAAUAGGAGACAAGUUAAAAAAUAGAAAAUGCAGCGACUCAAGAAACAAGAAGAAAAACAGAUGGGAAGGCGCCAAGCCCUCAAUUGAUACUUAUGUGGGCCGUUCUAAAACAGAAGCCCUGAUUGGAUCAUUUCUUGUCGUAUUUCCCUCCGAGUCUUCUAACUCCUCAAGGUGUUGUCUCAAUACAUUACUAGGUUUAACAUCCGGGGCCGGGCAAGCCUCGUUGUUAAAUUCCUUUUUUUUUUUUUUUAAGUUUUAACUAGCCGACUAUUGAAUUAUUUUUUAAGAAACAUAAAGAGUAAGGGUAUUAUCAACGUAUUUUUUAGUAAACAAAAUUAAUUAUAAACUGAAUAUAUAUAUAUAUAUAUAUAAAAAGAUAUAUAUAUAUAUAUAUAUAAAGAUAUUUAAAAGUAUGAUAAUGAUUGUUUUUUAAAGUGAUUUUUGUUUGGAAAUAUAUUAAAAUAAUAUAUUUUUUAUUUUUUUAAAUUUUGAUACUAGUAUAUAAAAACGAUUUAGAAACAUAAAAAAAUAUUUUUCUAUAAAAAAUUAAAAAUUUUCCGCUCCCAUUUGAAAUAUAAUGCCAAACAGGGUUGUUUUUGCCUCACCAUUCAAACUUGGUAUAACAUCUCAGGCUGAAGUUGUGCUUGGGCCUGCCAAAGAACUUUUAAUAUGGGCUUGUUCCUUUGCUUCUUUUACUGAAGCUAAUAAUUCCUCUCGAUCUUGGCCCACAUGUUUGCCUUUAGGCCCCUCCGGCCUUUUCGUUUGGGCCUGUGGUCUAGCUUCGGUAUUCUUUAGUUUGAUACUCUGACCCUUCUUAGGGCUUCAAAGUCGAUUCCUUUAUUUUGGCUGUCCAUCCUCGUAAUCAUUUAUGGUUCCAAGAUUCUCGGCACAAACAAUCUCUGCGCCAUUUGUUUCCUUAUCUGAAUCCUGUAAACCGUGAAACGAGAUUCCAUUGCCGGACUGUUUCCUCCGGUCCUCUCCUGAAUAUUUAUCCCGUUACCAUUAAUUUUUAAUCUUUGAAUACCAACUAUAUCACCUUCAAGGAGAGUGUCUAAAAACCUCCACCGAAAAUUUAUAGUUAAAAAAUAUAUGUGAGAAAUAUAUUAUUUUUAUUUUAAAAAAUAAACUUAUAUUUUUAUUGAUGGUUAUGCGCCUUGAGGUGAUUCAAGUGAUAAUUAUAGAGGGAGUUUUUAGAAGGAACAUGUUUAGGAAGUGAUAUUAAAAUAUUUGCUUUGAUCGCUUGAUAACUUUGAGUGGAUAAUUCUAUUUUGAUUCAAAGGAGUUAUAAAUUCUUAAAACACACCAAAUGAAAGUAGGUUGAUCCCUUAUAGGAAAAUAAUUUCACUUGAAAGGUCUUUCAUGCUAGUUGUUUUUGUAAAAAUAAAGAGGCCAAUGUUGUAGCAAAUUAAUCUUUUUUACCUAUAUGUGAUUUUUCAUAACUUGCUUAAAUUUGAGCAAGUUUUUGUCAGAUAAAGCAUAAAGUUUUUUUUAGAGAGCAUGUUUUUCUACUUCUUUUAUCAAGGCCUCUAAGGCUACAAGCUAAGGCUACAAGUUCAAGCAUUUUUUUCCCUUUAAAUAUCUUUCCAUUAAACCACUUUAAAUAUAUCUAUGUAAACUAACUCUCUUAUUGAAUAACAUAGAAUAGCUUUGUAAAUUUUUUCCUGACUGACAAGUAUGUUGGUGUUGAAGUAUACCACUCGCUUGGUAUAGAAGUUAUUGAACCCUUUCAUAUAGUUUGAGUGCAAAUUAUAAUACAAUGCACACGUAGACCUCUAGAAAGUUGUGGGGAGAAUUUUACGUAUUGAAUCAUUAUUUUAGAUAAUCAAUUCUAAAUUAUCGUGCAUAUUUUGCAUAUGCUACUUCAGAUUAGCCAUGCCAUCAUAAAUUUCUGGAAGAUACUGAUCUUGUCACAAAAUAAUGCUAGCUACUAAGAAGAUAUAUACUGAUCUUGGCACAAAAUAAUACUAGCAACUAAGAAGUUUCCUAGCUGAUUAUACGAUACAACUUUGGGCCCAAGAAUAUAUAUCUAGUGGAGAUCAUUUCAUGAGCUCAAUCAAGCCAAUCAAGCCCUUCACUUUCCAGCAAAUGAAUCUUUGCAAAUAUUUGCCUUUCUGUAACUAUUUAGACCUUUAAGUGACAACUAGGAAUAGGAAAAUGAAAGACCAGGUUGAUAAUUAGGGAAAUUCUAACCCUUUUACACGGCGUAAUUAAGCUAUAGCAAAACAGCAUCCUGUUCACCUUCUCAAACCCCCCCCCCCCCGGUUUCUUUCCUUGAGAAACAGUUUAUCACUCCUGUGGCGUAUGGGAUGAUGUCAAUAAGAAGGCACUUGUGUUCAAUUGGACCGAAUUUAAAUUUUUUUUAGGAGCUUAUUUUGCGGAAUCAGAUUAUCACGUUUUUUUUGUUUGACCUACCAGUCUAAUCUUGGUUUAAUGACGCUGCUUCAUAUACUUUUCUUAGGCUAAAUUUUCAGUCCAUUAUUAAAGUUUUCUCAAGUCAUUGCCAAUGAAAACAUUUUUCUCCUUCUGGACUGUGCAUAACUUCUAGCAGGAAAUAGAGAAUCUCUCGUUGCGAUUUCUGUCAUUAUCAAUUGUGCUUGCCUUUUCUUCUUUGAGUAUUUUGCUAUAUCUACCUUUUAGUCCCUUUGCUCUAUUUAAGGAAGCAGCAUUGGAGGCCAUUUUUCAGAGAAUUAGCUCUCUAAAACGAAAGGGAAACUACUUCGUUAUAUACUUCGAAGAUGGUGCCGCAUGGGUUCAGGUUCAAUCCCACUGAUGAAGAGCUCAUCCAAGUCCUAGACAGAAAAGCUUCUGGCCAAGAAAUGCCACUUCAUUUCAUUCUCGAAAGAAAUGUUUACGAGCGUGAACCACAGGAUCUUGAAUGUGCGUAAUAUGCACUAUGUAUUUCUUUGUUCUACUGCAUAUAGGGCUCGUGAUUUUUCUUCCCUUUUCUUUGCAAUAAUGGUAUAGUGGAAAUGAUUUUUUCAAGCUUUUUUGCAUUUAUACUAUAUGGUACAAAUUUCAGGCUACCUAUAUAUUUUCUAGGGUUCAAGUUUAGAGGGAUAAUAUCAUAUUCCAUGAUCUUGUCCAUCCAUUGAAAUUUACAGUAUCAAUGUUGAGUUUAUGUUAGUUUCUAUAUACCUUACUAUGAUAACUGACUGCUUAAGUCAGAUCUCUUUAACAAUAUUGUUACAUGCAGGGAAUCAAACCGCUCCUUUAAGCAAUGGUGAGAGAUACUACUAUUGUACGAGGGAGACAAACUAUUCGAGGGAAGUACUCGGUCGAGGAUGGUGGAAAGCUACGAGCCAUGUCAAGAAAAUACAUGCUAAUAAUGAUGAUCAACUUCUUGUGGGGAACAAGAGGCCUUUAAAAUUCCAUAGGUUCAAGGACAAUGAAAGAAAUCGCAAUAAUGCCGUCAAGACUAAUUGGAUCAUGUAUGAAUACAGCCUUGAAUCAAGAACCACGGUACUAGUUUUAAUAUUUUUGCGUGCACAGUUCUAAGUUAGUUAGUCUUAAUUAAUUAUAUGCAUCUUCUUCUGUUUGUUUCAUUUGUCCUACUUUCAUUUUGUUAGGAUUGGAGGCUUUGCAAGAUUAAGCAUAAGGGGAAACCAAGCGUGCAAGAAGAGAUGGAGAGUAUGAGGGAACAAUAUUCAUCGAGGAAUGAUUUCGAAGCCGGUAGUUCGACCAAUUUUGUUGGUGGGCAACAGCAACAGGAACAAACCUCACUGCCUACAAAUUAUGAAGGAUACGAUCAUCAUCAAUCCUAUUAUCAAUGGAACAAUAUGCAGCAGUCACCACCAUCUCCAUAUGAUCCUUCUCUACCGGCACCACCGAGUACUAGUAGUGGUCACUAUUAUGUGGAGCAGCAAGAGAAGUUAGAGCCCAGUGAUGAGCACCCAUUUCCUAGUCUUUGGUCUUGGACGAACUAGGAUUUUGUUGCAUCUAAAUCCAGGUUGCUAUGAAUGUAAGAAAAAAUUGCUUGUGCAUGUUUAGGUAUAGGGAAGGAUGUCUCGUUGCCUUUCUGUUACUGUAGUCAUUAUUGCUAUGUUAGAAAUAAAUACGAUUGUUCAGUACUUGUUUAUCCUCUAUCUUGGUUCCCUCAUUUACUACGUACGUUGUACUUCUUUCUUGGUGCUAAAAAUUGUAGCCAUACCGAUUAACUACCCUUCAUACAUGCUAAAAUACAUUGAUGCUACUAUUUUGGUAAAAAUGGGGAAUAUCCUUUGUAGCCAAGUUAGGAUAUCAACAGAAACUAAAUACACAUUUGUUCAAACAAGAAUCAACAUCUAUUCAUUUUUUUUAUUUGAUAUUUGUUGUGAAACCUGCAACAAUAAUGAUGGAUAUUAUACAAGAAAGAAAACAAGAAAUUAAAAUACACAAAUUCAAUGUUGUUCAGCAAUAUUAUUUCUAUUGAUAUUCACAAGAAUCAUGAAUUUUAUUUCAUUAUAUGUCAAAUUAGAGUUAAAUAAUGUGUAUUUAUAGUAAAUCCCAGUCACUCUAGGGAUAUCAAUAAUUUUUAAUAAUAUCUAUUUAUCAUACCACGGGGGUGUUGGAUCCACACCCUCAACCUAUCAAUCAUUUCGCUGCCCUUGUUUUAAUGCAACAUUGUUUAUAAGCUAUAAACUGCAACGACAUUUAUAGAUAUUCUUGGAUCUACAUCAACUGAAAUUAAGUUCUCUAAUCAAACAACCUUAAAGAGAAACAUGUGAUCUAGCGUAAUAUAUUUUAAGGAUAAUGAAAAAAUAAUGUAAUUUUCUUAAAAGUUAUUGACAUACAAAUUUUUUUUGUAUAGUGAAGUAUAGGUCACACUGUACUUAGCUAGGUUGUAUGUUUGUAAUACUUGUAAACAAACAUCAAUCAAUCGGCUACAUAGACCUAAUUGCAUUAGUUCCAACCCUUUUUAUUUUUACAAAAAGAAAUAUACUUUUCUUUUAAGUUUUUGACGUACAGUACAUUCGUAUUGUGAAUUAUCAUACUAUCGGUUAUAAAGUUCGUAAUACUCUUACAUCAAGACUUUAAGUAUGAAUAUGUACGGAUAGAUCAAUUGAAUCCAUUGAGUGAAGGAGGAUUUUAAUGUUCAUAUUAACAAAUUUAAAUAUCGUAAUUCUUAUUCUCUUUAAGAAGUAACAUUUAGAUUCCGCUCUAAUUCGCAUUGUUGAAUUUUGCAGGGUCAAAAUUCACGCAAAUGAGUAAUAUUCCUACACAUAACUAUCAAUCUAACAUCGUCCACUUACUUGCUGCUAGCUACAUGUGGAAUGAAUGCCAAUGAGUGUUGUAUAUAUGUACAGUGAAAAAUGUGAAUGCAUCCUUCCGUUCAUACUAAUUUAGCUCUAGGAGUCAAAAGGUACGUGGAUUUUUGUUAGAUUUCAAUGAGUGAAAAGGAAACAAGAGCAAGUACCCAUGCAUGUACAUUCAUUGAUGAUGAUGGUCAAUAAAUACCUUAAGCCGACAGUAGAAGGUGCAUGGAAUAUGGAAAUGAAUGUGAGUGAUAUAAUCCACAAAUCAUCUGUAAAAGUGUACUGGCUAGUAUUGUCAAAUACUAGCAAUAUUAGCAAAUAAUUCGUGUUCCUAUAUAUCCAACUGGUAGCCAACAAGCAACCUUUACACUAACCCGAAAGACAAUAUUUGAUGAGUGGUUAGAGGGUACAAUGAAAAGGAGAGAGACCUAAGGGGAAUGUCCUCUUACACGCGCUAAUUAAGGUAUGAAACAUCCUUAAUCGGGUUUUACUUUUCCUGAGUUCAAGAUGAUUGAAAAGACCCCAAUGUUGAUUGGAACAAGGAAUAGGAACAGUCGGUCAUCAUGGAAUAAGAACAGUGCUGGUGUAGAAAAUAAUAUUAAUUAUAUUUUGAAAUAUUUAAUAAUUUAAAUUAUUGAAUUGAAAUGAUUUUUUAAUAUAAUAUAAAGUCUUGAUAUUAAAUAGUCAUAAGUUUGAAUUCUUAUUUAUUUGAUAAAAAUUAAACACAAGAUAGUGUGAAUAUAUAUAAAUUUCAAGUUUAAAAACUUUCACUUAAAGAGGUAUGUUUGAGAAUAAUAUAAAUUAAUUAAAAUUUUAUUUAAUAUCUUUAAUUAUUGAGUUGAGAUGAUUCUUCUAUGUAGAGUUUGAUGCAAAGCUUGAAGGUUUCUUUAUAGCAAAUGUAACAGGGCUGGUGCAAGUAAAACCAACCCUCAAUGCUCCUCCAUUCACCCAGGUGGCUUCAGAUAAAAGCCAUUGUGGUGCUUUAAAUGGCCUCGUGAGUAGAGGUCAUGUCGAGUUUUGAUAGCAUUAGCUUCUCGUGGAGGAGAACUAUUUUUGGGAUUCGUUUAAUUGCCAAUAUUCUUCUAUCUUUCAGUACAGUAUACAGAAUUUUAUUAGUUCAAGGAAAGACACCAUAGAUUCACAUGGAUUUCAACAACUGUUUAGAGCAACAAACAAAAUACACAGAGGGACUGCACAAACAGCGUAGCAGUACUGUGGCCUAAAUGAAUCAAGAGGUGCGGAGGGAACCACAGUUCAUAGGAAAACAAAAUCAUGAAAUGGCAACAACAAAGUUUUUUAUUCAGCAGCAUGCCAAGAUUGAUACAGUCAAUGCAAUACCAAAAGGGGGCAUCCUUCAUGAAAAACAAAACCAUGCCAUCCAACAGGCACGUGUAGGGCCAACCGCUCAUGCAAAUGCAUAUACAUUUCCCAUGCAUCUGCUACAUCCAUGGCUAUUAAUGAAGUCAUUGAAGAACCACUUGCCUUAAAGUCCUUUGUAUCUACUGGGGCCAAGAAAACGACGUAACAAAAAAUUCAGACUCAAAACAAGUAACAAGCUGGAAAAGGCCCACAUGACAUGAGAAUUGAGAUAGAAACUACGAAGCUAUGCCAGCAUCAACACCUUCUUAGUCAUUCAUGUCAUAAAGAUAUUAAAUAGAAUCAACUUCAUAACAUCAUAGUAUCAAUUCCUUGAUUGCCUAUAUAGCACUAAAAUCCUACCUCCUUUUAAAGACAGACAAAACCAUGAACCUUAAUUCCAUUCCCCUUGAAAGAAAUACCAAAUAAAAACAUAACAAGAACUCAGAUUUUCACUUAUAUGGCACAAAUACAACGGUUGAACUUUAUCAUGUUCCUUUUCUUUUCCUGUUCUUCUUUCUAAGGAACAAAUACAUAAUCAAACAUGCAAUACAUUCACAUACUGCAUUAAUUAGAAGAUCACGUACAAACACAUAAAAGUAAUAACACUACAACAUUAUCCAGUUUUACCGACGGAUUAAUUCCGUCGGUGAUAGCAAUGAAAUCCGUCGGUGAAACCAAUACCGACGGAUUCACCGACGGAAGUGUUCCAUCGGUAAACCAGUCGUCGGUAAAUCCCAUUUCCGUCGCUAAUUCUGUCGCAAAUAAAAAAAACCAUCCACCGACGGAAACACCGACGGUAAUAUAGACGGAUACGCGCGCCAAAAAAAAUUCAUCGCGGGAACAUUACCGACGGCCAAUCCGUCGGUAAUUUUAAGGGUAAUUACCGACGGCAUCACCGACGGGUUUUCCGUCGGUAUUUAUGGCAUGGCUUGUAAUUUUGUUGCAACUCUCUGUGUAAUACCGACGGAUAUUAUCCGUCGGUCGGACGUUAAUCACCGACGAAUAUUAUCCGUCGGUGAUGCCAUCGGUAAAUAUGGCAUGGAUGGUAAUUGUUCGGCAACUCUCUGUUAAAUACCGACGGAUAUUAUCCGUCGGUAGGUAUUUGAAAUAUAUAUAAAAAAUAAUUUAUUAAUUGUAAAAAACAUUAAUAAACAAAUAAAAAUGCAUUAAACAUUAAAAAUGUAAAAGUAAUAAUAUUCAUUACAAAUUUAAUGUGUUUAAAAAACAAAAUUAAACUAGAAUAACGGCGGAGCUGGAGGAGGAGGCGGAGGAGGAGGAGGCUGGUUGUUCCCGGGACCAAACGGCCAAAAAGAAGCUGCACAAGUAUCGUCACCCAUCUUUGAUCUCAUCUCCAUGACUAUUUGACGGAGCUCAUCAUAAUUCGUCGAGAGUUGUUGAUAUUGUUGUUUCAACGCAAUGAACUCCUCAGACUGGGUGUUCGAUACUGAUGGAGAGCUUCCAACAGUUGAGACACUACGAGUCGAACGCAAGUUGUCAGCCGUAGUGUUGGAGAGCCCGUAGACCCUGUUUUUAUCGGGUCCACCAGACGAUCCCGCCUCCAUCCACAAAUCUGGAUCAAAAUCUGGAUGGGUCGACGGAUUGUCCCCAUAUCUCUCCCUCAACCGGCUAUUAUAGGUCUCCUGAAAAUUCCAUCGGUAAAAAAAUCAUCAAAUGCAAUUCAAGAUGCAAUUCAAGAAAAUAAUAACUUACAAAAUAAAAUGAAUGAACGAACAUACCACGAAGUGCUGAGCACGGUUGUCCACGAACUGCUGCACCCCUUUUUGGCGGUCUUGACUCCGCACAUGCGUCUCUAGAAACAGCUCCAUUGGACUCGGUUCACGUCCAAGAGACGCAGCCUGUAAUGCAAAAAUAGGUUGAAAGUUAAAUAUAUUAUAAGGAACGACAAAUUAAUUAUCGAUAUAUUUCAAUAAAAUUAAUCUUACCAUCCGCUUUGCAUGUGCGCUGAAUGGGACGGAUCCGCCAGUGUGCGUGGUCACCGAACCAUAAAUUUGCCGGUUCCGGUUGUCGGCGCCAGACUGUGAGCGCCGUGAGAACCGCUCUGAGGUCACGUGCUCAAUAUAUGCCGUCCAUAUUUCCCCCGAGAUGAAUGGCGGUUUGAAUUCCUGCCAAACCGCCACCUCAUUCCAUCCUUCAAGACCGUUAUCCCUCGCAUGUUUUUUUGAUUUUUUUUGGGUGUCAUACCAAAAAUCACGCAACCUACUUCCAUAGUAACAAAUUAGAAUUUAAAACAUUAAAUUAUAAAACAAAAAUAAAUAUUAUUUUUGAUGUUACCUAGUUGCCGCGUGAUUCUCCCAUACUCUCCUCACAACAUUGUUGUCCGCCCUAUCCCACUCAAAUUUGUUCUGUGUAUAUAAAUAAUUCAUAUAAAAUAAAAAUAGUACAAGAUAUAAAAUUAUAAAAAUCAUUUAUUAAAAAUAAGCUGGAAAUUAAAAAUUAACACCGACCUGAAAUCGCUUAAACCAUGCAUCGAUAUUAAGUUUCCACUCAGGAUGUUUGGAAACCUGGCUCCAUUGAAACAAUGGAAUCUCCAUCGACGAUUUAAACGCCAAUGUUAUAGUCCUUGCAGUCUCAAUGUUUGUAAACCUGAAAUUAAAUAAAAGUAGUAAUUAAUAUUAAUUAGUUGUUCAUAAAUUAUGUUAUAAGUAUAUAUAAAAAAAUCUAAAACCUAAACGAACUUACAUUGAGAGGUCAUCCUUCCAUUGUGCCUGGUACUUGCGGGUGAAUUGACCCCGCUGUGAAGGCACACCGCUUCUGCGCUGUGAAACCGCGCUAGAAGAGGCAGCAUCACAAGUUGGCGUAGAUUCCUCGCCGUGAUCAACACCUAAGGAUACGUCCUCCUCGCUGCUAGAAGAACUAGCUGCAACCGUCUUCUGACGACGUGCUGUAGAUUUCAUUCUACGCAUCUACACACAUGUAUACGAAUAAUUAACUUCGAUUAUUUAAAAAAAAAAUUCGACAGAGUCUCCCCUGUACUGGGGGGUCCCAAGUUGUCGACAAAAUCAUAUUACACUUCCAAUUUUAUUUCACAUCCCGAUCCAAUCAUCCUGGAUCUCAACCCAACUCAUCAUCAUCAACACAACAUUUUAUUCAAUAACAUCAUAUAGAAUUACAACUAUGAACAUUCAUUUAAUUAUUUUAUCCUAAAUUAAGAUAAACUAAUAAUUAAAUGCAAUUCUAUAUAUAUAAAUUAACAUUUUUAAAAUAAAUCAACAAUAACAAUUAUAUUUAUAAACUAACAUUUUUAAAAUAAAUCAAAAAUAACAAUUAUAUUUAUAAACUAACAUUUUUAACAUAAAUUCAACAAUAACAAUUAUAGCAAUACAAACAAUAAUAUCCUAAAUUAAGAUAAACUAAUAAUUAAAUGCAAUUCUAUAUAUAUAAAUUAACAUUUUUAAAAUAAAUCAACAAUAACAAUUAUAUUUAUAAACUAACAUUUUUAAAAUAAAUCAACAAUAACAAUUAUAUUUAUAAACUAACAUUUUUAACAUAAAUUCAACAAUAACAAUUAUAGCAAUACAAACAAUAAUAUCCUAAAUUAAGAUAAACUAAUAAUUAAAUGCAAUUCUAUAUAUAUAAAUUAACAUUUUUAAAAUAAAUCAACAAUAACAAUUAUAUUUAUAAACUAACAUUUUUAAAAUAAAUCAACAAUAACAAUUAUAUUUAUAAACUAACAUUUUUAACAUAAAUUCAACAAUAACAAUUAUAACAAUACAAACUAUAAUAUCAAAACUAAAAAACUAAAAUUAAUAAAUAAAAUUAAAAAACUAAAAAACACUACACAACACACAAAAUUAAAAAACAUUAUAUCAAUUCAAAAUAAAUUUGGGAAUAAAAAAUGCUUACCUUAAUAAUGUGUUGAAUUUAAGAUUUUAUCUACAAACAAUAUACAAAACAAAGAACACCAAAAAAAAUAAUCAUAAUUAAAAUAAAAAAAAUACAAAGAUAAAGAAAAAAAAAUACAUACCUUUUGAAACUAAACUUGAGAAGAAGAUCACACUUGAGAAGAGGAGAAGAGAAAGGGAGAAGAGGAAAGGAGAAGAGGAGAAGAGAAGUGAAAGGAGAAGAGGGGGAGAAGAGGAGAAGAGAAAGGGAGAAGAGGAAGGGAGAAGAGGAGAAGAGGGAGGAGAAGAGGGGGAGACGACGGGGGAGAAGAGGGAGGAGAAGAGGGGGAGACGACGGGGGAGAAGAGGGAGGAGAGGGAGGGGGAGACGACGGGGGGAGAGGAGGGGAGGGAGGAGACGGUGCGGGGGGGGGGGGGGGUGGGGGGCCAGUAUAUAUAGUGAAAUUCCGACGGAAUUACCGACGGCCCUUAAUUGCUGUCGGUGCGAUUAAUUUCCGUCGGUAAUUCCGUUGGAAAUUAAUUGAAAUGCGCACCAAAAAAGUUCGAAAAUCCCGCCAAACUUUUCGAUCCGUCGGUAAUCAGUCGGAAAUGCCGUCGGUGAUGUGCAGACGGGACACGUGUCAGACAUGCGUGCGGACAAUUCCGUCGGUGAUGCCGUCGGAAAGCCGUCGGUGAAUGUGGCAAAAUCCCGUAAUUUUUUUGCAACUCUCUGUGAAAUACCGACGGGUUAUAUUUCGUCGUUAUAGCCGUCGGUGAAUGUGGCAAAAUCCCGUAAUUUUUUUGCAACUCUCUGUGAAAUACCGACGGGUUAUAUUCCGUCGGUAUAUCCGUCGGUGAAUGUGGCAAAAUCCCGUAAUUGUUUUGCAACUCUCUGUGAAAUACCGACGGGUUAUAUUCCAUCGUUAUAUACGUCGGGAAACCCGUAAUUUUUCUUAAUUUUUAUAUGUAACCCUCUCAAAAAAUCUUGAAUUGCUAACUAAAAAACACACACAACACAAUAACAACGGCUGACCCUUAAAGAAGAAUAAAUAUUUCAUGUUUCAAAUUAUUACAUUAUAAAAAUAAGGCUUUAUAACAUGUUUAGUUAGUCGGAAUUUUCAUCUUCGUCCUCCAUUGAAUUGUUAUCAUCAGCUUCAUCGCACUCUUCAAUUUCGUUAUCAUCUUCUUCAACAACAUUCUUUUUUCCACUAGUGGAGCUCAGAACAACAUUCAACUCCUCUGCGUCAACAUCAACAAGACUAUCGUUGAAAACACGAAAAUUCGAAUUUUCUUCUAAGUCAAUCGACGGAGCAACUCGGUAUGGUUCAACCAACUCACUAGCUUGAAAGACUUCAUCUAUCACACUUGUGUCUUCGUUCUCAUCCUGAACAACCUCGACACGACCCUUGGGUUUUGUUUUUAAAACGGAUAACCAAUCAACUCUUGAUCGGUCCUUUCUAAAGGAAGGGGUGUAUGUGUAAUAAACUUGUUGGCAUUGCUUUGCGAAAACAAAGACGUCGUUUACGUUGCGGUGUCUAGCUUUUGAAUUGAUUUCAACGAGACCAUAGUGAGGAUCUACUCUGAUUCCUCUGUCAGUUGUGUCAUACCAAUAACAUUUGAAUAAAAACACUCUAUUUUGCUCGCUAUGAUAUUGCAGUUCGAUGACCUCUUCCAAUCUACCGUAGUAGUCAACUUCAAACUCACUAGAAGUCGAUCCCUUAAUACAAACACCGCUGUUGUAUGUCUUUCUUCCAUGCCCGUAUUCUUCAGUAUGAAAGACAUAUCCAUUGACAAAAUAUCCAUUAUAGCAUUUGACUUUUCUUUCAGGGCCCAGACAUAGUAAAGACAGUGAAAUAGCAGCACUACCUCCCAUUUGAUAAACCUAGCUUGUAAAUUAAAUACAACAAUAAUCAAUAAACGAAUAUUAUGUAACAUUGACUACAAUUAAUUACAUUGCAAGAGAUAAUGAGUUUGUGCUAGGACUUACAUGUGUUCUAAACCAUGUGGCAAAUUGUUCAUCUUGUAAUUGAAAGAUCUGGGAUUCGGUCAGCUGUGAGUUAUUGGACAGUAAGUAUCGUCGAUGUUGCCUGCAAGGUUGUUCCAAAGUAUAUGAGUGUAUGGUAUCACAAAACAUAAAUAGUACACUCUUGACAAAGUUUAAGUCGAACAUCUACUUACUUAAUAAAAGGUCUCAGCUCAUCACAGUUAAAUAGGACAUAAUUGUGUGCUUGUCUGAACUCUAUUUCAGACAAAUAUCUUCCCCUCACGGCAUUUUUAGGUGUGGGUCGUCCAGGAUUGGAGAAUAUUGACAAGUUCCCACUUGAAUGCACUUCACCACCAUCAUCAUGCCGUGGAACACGGUUUAUCCUCGUUCUCAAAUGAGGUUCGAAAUAGUAUGAGAUAAAUGUUGAGAUCUCCUCAACAAUAUACGCCUCACAUAUUGACGCCUCAACAUGCGCCUUGUUCUUAACCUUUUUUUUAAGAUUGAACAAGUACCUGCAUAUAUAUAUAUAUAUAAAAUUAUCAAUUAAAAACAUUAAAAUAAAAACAUUUAAUUAUAAAUGUCAUAGCAACUGUAAUAUCUAACCUCUCGAAUGGAUACAUCCAUCUGUACUGGACCGGUCCUCCAACUUUUACCUCAAACGGUAAAUGUACGGGUAGAUGCUCCAUUGAGUCAAAAAAUGAUGGAGGGAAUAUCAUCUCAAGUUUGCAUAUUGUCUCGACGAUAUUCUUUUCAAGCCUCUCAAUGUGAUCAACAUUCAACUUGCUGGAGCAUAUAUCUCUGAAGAAAUGACUAAUCUCCGUUAGUGCAUCCCAUAUCCCCUUUGGCAACAAAUCACAAAAAGCUAAUGGGAUGAGUGUUUGCAUAAACACAUGGCAGUCAUGACUCUUCAUUCCAUAUAAUCUGCAUUCCUCCGUAUUAACCAGCCUUGAUAUGUUCGAGGCAUGUCCAUCGGGGAAACGCAGACUCUUAAGCCAUUUGUAGACUAGUAGUUGUGCGUUUUUCUCUAGCACGAAGCUUGCUCUUGGUUUUGCGACCCGUGACCCAUCCCAAACCAACUCCAUAUUUUUACGGUUACAGAACAGCGCUACAUCCAAUCUAGCCUUGAUGUUGUCCUUUGUCUUCCCCUUCACAUCCAUGACGGUGUUGAAAAUGUUCUCAAACACGUUCUUUUCAAUGUGCAUGACGUCAAGGUUAUGGCGGAGAAGAUUGGUCUUCCAAUAAGGAAGCUCCCAAAAUAUACUUCGUUUCACCCAAUUAUGGGUCAAACCAAAACCAGGAAACUUCUGCUUACCUGAUUGGAGACCAAACACAAUUUCACCGUACUCUGACACAACAUCAAACAAUUCUUCACCGGAAAGACGCGGGGGUGCAACAUCAUUUUCAACCCUGCCAACAAAGAAAUCCUUUCUGUUCUUUCUGUACCUGUGGUUAUGUGGCAAGAAACGACGGUGACAGUCAAAAAAAGAAGCUUUACCCCCGUUUGUUAGCGUGAAUGCCUUGUUGUUCUCCAUACAAUAUGGACAUGCUAGCUUUCCAUGCGUGCUCCAACCAGAAACCAUUCCAUAAGCUGGGAAAUCAUUGAUAAUCCACAUCAAAGCCGCUCUCAUAAUAAAAUUUUGUUUCCUCGAGAUGUCAUAAGUCAAAGCUCCAGAGGACCACAACUGCGUCAACUCAUCAAUCAACGGACGAAGACAAACAUCUAUAUUCCGCCCCGGACUGCUCAGACCUGGUAUGACCAUAGAUAAAAACAUGAACUCCGGCCUCAUACACAUCCCCGGUGGCAAGUUAUAAACCGUCAGUAUGACCGACCAACAAGAAUAAGGAGCAGCAAAUGACCCGAAUGGAUUGAAUCCGUCUGUACAUAACCCAAGACGCACGUUUCUUGAUUCAGCUGAAAAGGGAGGAUGCAUACUGUUAAAGUGUUUCCAGGCUUCACCGUCAGAAGGAUGAACCAUCACUCCAUCAACCGCAUGGUGUGAUUGGUGCCAUGUCAUGUGCUCAGCAGUCCUUGGUGACAUGAAUAACCUCUGCAGUCUAGGUGUGAUUGGGAAGUAUCUAAGUUUUUUAUAUGCCACGAGAGUCUUCCCUCUACCAGUUCUGGGUUUGUAAUGGGAAUGCCCGCACGUCAUGCACUCGGUCAUCUCGGUAUUUUCAAGGUAGUAUAACAUGUAGAAGUUAGGGCAUAUAUCAAUUUUCUGGUAUCCUAAACCGAGGGGUUUCAUCAUGGACUUGGCAGCAUAGAAGUUCUCUUUCAGCCUGUUCCCUUCAGGUAAAAUGCUUCUCGCCCAUUCAAUAAUCUUGUCAUAACCGGCCUCACUCAACCCGUGAUCUGACUUGAUGGUGAACACCUGUGCUACGGCUGAUAAUUUACUGUGGUUCGUGCAGCCAUCCCAUAAUGGUUCGUCAGAAUCUCUCAACAGAUCAAAAAACCUUGCUGCAUCUGCAUUAGGUUCUUCUUCUACGAUUGGACAUCCCCUGACAUUAUCUUUGUCGCACGGUGCGCGACGUCGCGGCGAAUAUUCCACUUUAAAUCUAGGAAGUGUGUAUGGUAUCUAUCUGGCAAAUAUGGGGAGACAAGAAAAUAUUGUCUUUUGUUGGUAGAAAAUGGAAUGGGAGUCGCCACCUAGUAUUUUGGUCACUAGGAACCCUAACUGGUCUCAGAGAUUGGGUACGGGGACUGGUUGCGUAAAGGGAAGGUAUUAGCACCCCAAAUACGCCAUACCUAAGGUAAGCUGCAUUGUUCAUUUGUCUGAUAAAAUUCAAGGUCUCGUUGUGUUUCCUAGUUGUUGGUCCGUCUAUGGUUCAAGAAAAGUCCUCCUCAAUAAGGAGGUCCUUAUCUUAUCGGGUAAAACCUAACCGUUCUAACAUCUAUAUAAAAACUAUAUUUUUAACAUCAGGAAUAUGUUUUACGUAUAAAUUCAUAAUCCCAGAUACUAAAAGAAGACAAAAAGAUUUUUUUAGAAUUUUUGAAAUAUUGGCCUAGUUCUCAUGGCUUUAAUAAACUGGUUAUUAAAGCCGAAAUGCAUGUUAAUACAUAUAUUGUUUUUGAAAUUUCCUUUGUUGUGUGAAAAUAUGAUGUUAUAAUAUUUAUAUAUAUAUAUUGGAGAGACUAGGCCGUAUGCAUGAAAACAAAACAUUUUUUCUAAAAACUUGACAAAAACCAGGUAUUUUAAUACCGGAUUUGUAUCUUUACAGUAUAAAAAUACAAACCGAUAUUGAUCAGAAUACAGUAAUAAAAUUACAGAAAAUCACAUAUUUUUUGGAAUAAUUUUUGAAGAAUUUUUGUUCGAACGGGCCAGACCCGGCCCAAAAGGAAACUGGGCCGAAAUCAGCCCAAAAUGAAUUCUACAGGGCUGGACUCAGCCCAGCCCAAAACCAACAUGGCUGGUACUGUUCACGGUACAGUAAUCGGGUUACUGUGCAGGUGAACAGUACCUGUUAAUUAAUUAGCCGGUUACUGUGCACACAGUAACCGGGUAAUUAUUUUCUGGCUUGCAGAACGUGCACAGUGCACGUUCUGCAUGCAAGACGAUGAACAGUAAACAGAGAUAAGGGUCAGAGGGCUGACCUGUGGUGGCUCUGAAGGCGGUGCUGCUGGUGGUUGCUGACCGGAGGAUGGCCGGGAGGGUGGUCGGUGGCUGGGGAGCCCGAUGACAGCAGCUGUUCUUUCUUCUUCUUCCCUGUGCAGAGGUGCCCACCUCUGGUUUUUUUUCCUUUUCACGUCUGCUUUUAUUCUACUCUCUGUCACUGUCUUUGUUUCAUCUCCCUUGUCCCAAAGUCUUCUCUCCUUCUGGUCCGUUUUACUCCAGUUUCUCUCCUCUCUUUCUCCUCUGUUCGCCCCUGUUUUGUCUUCUCCUUCUGUUGCUGAUGGUGUUUUCUGCUGUCAACAAUGUUCUUCCUUCUCUGCAACGUCUUCGUGGAGGUGCUGGUGGCAGGGCAUGACUGCGGCUGCUCCUCCUCCUGGUGUUGUUUCUGCUGCUGGGAUGGAGGAGAAAAUGAGGUCGGUCUGGGGCUCCGUUGACAGAGAAGGCUGUUUCGGGUGCAGGGAAGAAAUGGUCGAGAGAGGGGAAUGGCCAGGAGGGGGACUGUUUUUGGGUGCUCUCUCUCUUUCUCGUUCCAAAAACACGCCUCCCCUUUUAGUUUUCCAGCCCCCUCCCGUUCAACAAAACUCUCCUCGUUUUAAACUUCUUCCUCUCUCCGUUUCAAAAAGUUUUUCCCCCCUCUCUCUCUGCUGUGUUGGGUGCUAUUUAUAGAGCAAGUGGGUGUGGCUUUUGCUGUUGCGCAUGGGAGCGGGUCUCGCGGCGGCUGGUCGGCCAUUGGGUGCUACUGUCGAGGUUCGGCUCCAACGGCAUGGAGCGCGGCGGGUAGAGGAACAGUGUCAAAACGACACUGUUCAAAUUCUUUUUUUUUUUUAUUAUUAUUAUUAUUAUUAUAUAUUUUUUUAUUUGUGGGGACCCAAAAAUGGGUUACAACAAUCUUCACUCAUUCUCAUUGCAUCCAUAACCAUAUUCCUGUAAGGAUUACUGUUCUCAUUUCCAACUUCAUGCAUGUUACUAGCACUAGAAGUUGACCCAACCACCUGUUCUUCCAUGCUCUCAUCAGGAACAAAUAGUUCUCCGUGAGCAUACCAACACAGGUAAUCUUCCAUGAACUCUUUGGUUAGAAGAUGCAUCGUUACAACAUCUUGAUGCAGAAACUUUAAAUUUUUACACUUCCUGCAUGAACACCUAAUACCGCCAUCAGUAAAAUUCCUCGGAAUAGAUGUUGCGAAAUUAAUAAAACCCUGGACACCGUUACAAUAAUCCAUCCUCCGCAAUCCUUGGGGUGAGUUCCGAUACAUCCAUGAACGAUCAUCCAUGACUUCUAUUGAACCUCUAUAAAACAUAACAAAAAUAUUGGUUUUCCCCGACAUUAUCCAACAAGCUAAAACAACACUUAUGUUAAAUAUUCAUUAUCAAUUAUCAACUAUCAACGUUCAUACAUACAAAUUUAUACAUAUAUAAAUUUACAGAAUUACUCACAACUUCGAAAUAUAAUUGAUAACAAUUAAACAAGACACUUAAAUAAGCUAUUAAUUAUUUAUUUCAUCACAACGACACAUUUAAUUCGGUGUAAUUCAAACAAAAUUUCAACAAUUUACAAACAAAUAUAAUUUGACAAAAUCUAAAACAACCUAUAACAACUACAAAAUUAUACAUUCAUACUACAAGUUUCUUUGACAAAUAACAAUUAAACAAGUACAAACGUUAACAAAAUACAUAUACUAAAACAAUAAAAUUCACAAUUAAAUAUUAAAACUAAUUAAAAAGGAUAGAUUUACUUACAAAAAAAUGAUAAAAUCUACAAGAAACGGAUAUUGUGACCACGUACAAGAUAUAAGAAACUUGAGUGCUCGUGUUGAGAAUAGUGGAGAGUUUGGGAUGGGUGUUUGGCUGCAGUUUGGGAGGAGUUUGGGAGGGGAGAGGUGGGAUGGGAAAGAAGAAGAAGGAGAAAUAGAGGAUGAGAGUGUCGGCACAUGGGUGCAUAUAAUGGUUUUUUCCGACGGUAUCACCGACGGAAGGAAUCCGUCGGUGAUGCUGUCGGUGACAUCGCCACGUCACUGUACGGCUAUCACAGUUUGAAUCCCUCGGUACUUUCCGUCGGUAAAAUCCCCUGACGUCACCAUGCCGUUGCGUAUUUCCAGACGAAAUGUAUAUUCCGUCGGUGAAGUCGACGGUAUAUACCGACGGAAUAUUUCCGUCGGUAUAUACCGACCGAUUUUGAGACGGAAUUAUGUCCGUCGGUAAUUAAUACCGACGGAAUAUUUCCGUCGGUAAUUCCGUUGCUUUUUUCCGGUUUUCUGGUAGUGUAAAAUCAGAUACCAAGAUGCAAUUUCUAUUGUUUUUCUAAAUCUCAACAACCUCUGCCAUAAAAGCAAGCAACUUGCAUUACAGAAAUUCACAAAGAUCAAAACCUUAUCAUUAUAUACCAUAAAAAAUGCACCAACAAAAUACAAAAACUAAAAAAAACCCUAAAAUUUAAACACAGUAAAAUAACAUUCUCUUGCAUUGGCACAUCAACUUGUUGCAUGCUGAAUUGAAGUGGUUCCUACGUACUGGGACUUCUUUCGAGUAUUUGGGUGAACUUUGGGAGCUCACUGUCAAGGCUAGCCAUGGCUGGUAGGGUUUAGAAUCCAUAGAAGAAGAAGAAGAGAAGGGAGAGAGAGAGAUUCUCAGAAUUCAUCAUUCAUUCAUUCAUCAUAAUUUGUUGGCUAACCAUCCAAAGUCUGUUACAACCACAUAAGACUAUAUAAUUUUAACCCGGAUUAAUUUACAAUAAUCAUCAUCAUCAAAACUUUCAUCAUCAUCAAAACUUUCUCUUACCUGACCAUACAAAUUCAUACAAUUACAACCCUUAAAUAAAACAUGUAACAUACCAUAGAUAGAGAAGCAGAAAACUUUGAAAAAGAAAAAUUGGGUUUUGUUUUGUGAGUUAAAACAAAAGGCAAUUAAUGACUAAGAAAUUAGUGAUGAAUUAUUACACAAAAUUCUCAAAGAGACCAAUUUUUCAUUCAUACAAUUAAAUUACUUUUUAAACCUUCAUAAUUUAAAUCUUAUAACUUGCUUUAAAGAGUAAUAUAAUUUUUUCAUCGAGACAUUUUUACUAUUACAAGAUUGGAUAUGAAUGGAGAAGUCUUUUAACCUUUUAUUUGCUUAGUGUAAUGUUUAAAAUACCUUUUGCUUUUUUUUUUUUGGCAUAGUGUAAUUAUUAAAAUAUCUUUUGAAUAAAAUUUUUUAUAGCAAUGAUUGAAGGGCUUUUUGAUCCUUUUCUUAUGUUUUUUUGUUAAUAUUGUGUGGAGUCAGGGUAUUUAUAUAUUUAUAUAAAUUAGAUUAAUUAAAAAAAAAAAUUGUUGGUGUAUGUAAUCCAUACUAGUAUGUGAAGCGGCUACAUCUUUUCAACGGUAAGUACGACUUUUCCUAGCUGUCAAAAUAGGCUGACUGUUGUCUCUUUGAAAGGUUUGGUGGUCGUUGAAUUGGCCGACUGUUGUCUCUUUCACAGGUUUGGUGGUGGUUGAAUUCUCCCUCUCUUUCUCUCUUUCUUCCCCUUGCAACGCACGCUAGUAUAGCCAAAAUUAAGAGAAGUCCUGGUUUCAUGAAAUUGAUGGUGCAUCCUUGGUAUUUCCCCAUCGUUCAGCGUACGUUUUAUUUUUGAAAGCAACUGUCUGUUGCAAUCCCUGUACUGCUGCUUAUAAUCAUUAUGAUAUAAUUUUUCUAGCUCGUAAUAUUACUCUUAAAUUUAAAUUCUUUACUUUAAACAUCAUUUUAAUAUCAUACUUUAUACAUCCAUUCUUGUUUUUCCAAAGUAAGAUUAUGUUACAUAUUUGCCCAAACAGAAAGGACUAUCUAACCUUAUUAUGCUUAUAUUAAGACUUCUUGGAAUCAUUGUAAUCCACCAUAGCUGAUAGGAAGGCAAUCUUUAGGCAUCAAAAGGCUUUCAACGCAAGCUUGUAUAAUACCCUUUAGUUUUUUUCUCUUGCUUUUAAAUGGAUGCAUGGCAUUCAUUUGGUGCCUGCAAAGACCCUGUUUUCUAGUGAGCCAUUUUUACAUAAUCAUGAUGACAAAUAAUUUCCUUGUUAAAACCAGUAUUUUGUUUAUAUAUUAAGUUUCUGUUGUCAGCUAUCAAGUGGGGAAACCAUCAACUGAAAACAGAUCUUUGUUCUUUGACCGUUUAAUUGAGGCUGCCUUAUCAGUUGUGGUGGAGGACGUGACCAAGAAAUCACAAGGAUCUGCACCCUUUCUUGAACUUCGCAAGGCACAAAAAGUGGCGAGUGGCCCAAAGGCCUCAGAGUUAAAAGCCAAGAUAGAAGCUGAGCAGCAUGCUCUACGCCGAAUGCGCAUGUGCCUCUUCAUGCAACAAGAAAUUUGCUUCUUCAUGCAACAACAAAUUUUAAAUUUUUGAUUGUUGUUUCACUUUGUAGCAUUAUUGAAAUGGUCUCAAUUUAGUCCAGCAAGUGGGUUCUAAUAAAAUGCAGUCGUCAUGGAGCAUAUUUCAAUUCGUCUAGUUAAUUAAAGCCAAAUGCAGAUUGUUAAAAAAGUUGGUGAACUUGGAAUUGGUUCUCCUAUGCCUUUCCCGUAGGCAAUACCCAUGACACUCUUGAAUCUUUACUGAAUAGAAUCAAAUUUCAAAAUAAAUGAAGAGGAUGGGAGAGUCAAGUAUGUGGUUACAAACCAAAUUAAGAGAGAUGAGAGGAGCUAGAUGAGAGAUAUAGUGAACGUUUAAGAUCCAGAAGAGAAUGAAAUCAAUGAAAAGUGAUCUGGGUGAGGGAUAAGGUCAAGAAAGCGCGAGUAGACUGUAUGUCUCUGUGCACUCGCUCGUGAGAGAGAGGAGUGGGGGGGGGUUUCCUAGCAAGGUCUGCUAUGUUGUCUGCAUUUGAAAUUACAUCAACCUAUGAUCAUCCCACUCCAUUGGUUGUUACAGCACAUGUUUCUUGUUACAUACAAGCUGGUUGUCUCUGUACAGUAUUUCUGCUUCCUUUCACUGUUUACACUUAACAUUCUAACUUCUUUGCUGCAGGAUGUUGUAUGACAAACGAUUUAGUGCCUUGCAUUAUCCUGUCACUGACGAGGAUGCUCCAACCUCGCUCUAUAAUCCAGAACCCUAUGGACAUGGCUACCAUGCUGCAGCGUGUUGACUCUGGUCAAUAUUUCACAUGCUCAGGAUUCCUGCAAGACAUUGAUCUCAUUGUGACCAAUGCAAAGGUGUGUUUUGUUCCUAGCUUCAUUUAAUUCUAUUUCUAGGUUCUCCUUCCAUUGAAUAAUUUAACACCACUAUAACUCUGGUCAGUGCAUCUAUUUCAUGCUUAAAUUUGGCGUGCAUGUCUCUAAUAUAGGUGUACAAUGGAGAUGAUUACAAUGGAGCUAGGAUUGUCAGUAGAGGUUAUGAGCUUCGGGAUGCGGUAAGUUUCCAUGCCUUUUGGUUUUCUAUGAUUUUUCCUCUCAUUUUGUCCUAUCACCUAAAGCAUCAUUUGAUGAAUCCCUUUUCAUAAUAUUUUACAGGUGCAUGGAAUGUUGUCACAGAUGGACCCUGCGCUUGUCACAUACUGUGACAAGAUUGCUGCUCAAGGGGGUCCUGUACAAAUACCAGAUGAUUUAGGGGGAUCUAUUUUCCCUUCAACCCCAGUUGUGCAGCUUGGAACUGUUACUAGAACAAGUGCCAGGCUACGCAACGUCCAGCCUGAUGUUAAUCUGGAUCAAAGCUACGAGGCCUUGAAAAGGCAGAAGAAAAAUGCUGAUGCUACUUGUGCUGGUAUGUUCAUUGGUAAUGCUAUAUACUUUGUCCUUAUGAUAUUGCUGUUCGUUUUUCCCACCUAUCUGAAUGAUGUCUUGAAACAUGUCAAGUUGCAAGACACAUUUUACAUGCUGAAUUUUGGUGCGGAUACUGAUGUAAUAGAUCAGUAGCAAGUAAAACUAAUCUCAGCUACCGACUUCUUGUAUAAUAGACUUGACCUGUUUGUAGUUCAUGUUUUCAAAUUUCCUUUCCUAGUUAGAAAAACCUCUCGUAAAUAUUGACAAUUAAAUCCUGAAGCCAGAAAUCUGAAUUUUUCUAUUCAAUAUAUGAAUUUUAUCUCACAGCCCAUAUUCCAAACUAGCAUUCUCUUCAGCUGGUGUCCUUUAUCUGAAGUUUUUAACUCCUAAUUUUCCUAGAUUUGUUAUAUUUAUUGUUAUUCUUUGACUGAACUCUUUAAUUUUCCAUGAUUGCUCUUCGGACGCAACUCUCUGAUCAUUUUAUACUUUUCAUGAAAAACAGCUUCAACAGCAGAAGAUAAAUCACGGCAUCAGGAUUCAGUACAGGCAAAGCCGCCAGAGGAAGCCAGGGCAGAUGAUAUGAAUCCAGACAGACCCGAGUCCUCUUCAGCCGAUGACAGUCGACAUGAAACUUCAGGAGGAGAAGCUUCUGGUCAUGCCGAAGCGAGUGGAUCCCAAGAUGUUACAAUGUCAGAAGCCGAAGUAUCAAGCCACGUGGAUUACAUCAAGCGGCUUUUCGUGGGGCGCACUGAAAAUUAUGGCAUUCCACUGCUUGAAAGGCUCUACACUCGUAUAAUGAAGGGAAUCUUCGAAACCAAGGACAAAGGAGUUGAAGAUGGCCCCAGAUACUCAAUUUUGAGGUUUUUGGUAAAAUUUGCAGAGAACACUGCAAACUUCUGAACUCAAUACCUUUUCCCCUUAAACCAGAGGAUAAAAGAAAAACGAAAAACGAACCCAAAAAAAAGAAGAAAUCUUGCAGGUAGCUGAUGUAAAGUCGGGAUUUUCUUUUCAAUGCAAAAAAAUUAGAGUGAAAGCAGUCUCUCUGUCUCUCUCUUCCUCUCUCUCUCUCUCUCUCCCAGAGUACAGUUUCAUAAACUUAUUUGACCUCACAAGCUGUCAAGCUCCAUGGUAUUGUUAUGGCUGGUGGCAAAUCCAAUGUGGCAUUCUUUUACAGGGAGGACUAAGUGGGAUCUGUUAGCUAUUUGGAGACAAGCAAUGUCCCACCUCCACUAUGUGCUUAGUGGGAAUACCUAAUCUCCACUUAGCACAAGUGGAGGCAAACGGUGGGCAUAAAUCAUGGCAUGAUUCAUGCCCUUCACUCCUAGCUUAAUAUAUAUGUAUGCUCAGUGAAGAGCUGGAGUGUUGUUGAGUGAAGAACGCAGAGAAGAGUGAAAACACAGAGAGAAAAACAUGAGAGAGAGAGCUUGAGUUGAGUAGAGAAGAUUUUCUCCUCCUCCUUGUUUUGUUGUUUGUAUUGUUUCUAAGCUUGAUUAAUACAAACCAGUAGCUCCGUGGAGUAGGCAAGUUGCCGAACCACGUAAAUUUGUGUGUGUUUGAGUUCUGGAAUUACCCAACAGGAUCUUUUCUGAAGCAGACACAUCAAGAAUUGGGUUUGAAUUUCAGCAAAAGCAUCGCUGGUAUAAAUUAGUCUCUUUCUGAAUGAAUAUUUUUUCAUAGUUUCCAAGAUGUUUGUUUAAUAUCUUCAACUUCAAACUACUGAGAGAGAGAGACAGGAGACGAAAGGGUAUUCAAGCUAUUAUUUUAUUUAAUUUAAAACCAAGUAUUUUUUCGGAGAAUCAAAAUUAUGAUAUUAAGUCUGAAAACUAUUAUUUUAUUUUCAACAUUUAAAACUAAAUCUAUAUAUAAAAAAAUAAAAAUAAACAUGCUGAUAAAAUAGGAGACAGGUUAAAAAAUAGAAAAUGAAACAAGAAGAAAAACAGAUGGGAAGGCGCCAAGCCCUCAAUAGAUACUUAUGUGGGCCGUUCUAAAACAGAAGCCCUGAUUGGAUCAUUUCUUGUCGUAUUUCCCUACAAGUCUUCUAACUCCUCAAGGUGUUGUCUCAAUUCAUUACUAGGUUUAACAUCCGGGGCCGGGCAAGCCUCGUUGUUAAUUAAUUAUAAACUGAAUAUAUAUAUAUAUAUAUAUAUAUAUAUAUAUAUAUAUAUAUAUAUAUAUUAUAGCAUACUUUUUUAAACUUUGAUAGUCUUCCUGUAGCAUCUAGUGGUCUCGGCAUCUCCGAUGAAUUAGUGUUAUUGAAUUAGUGUUAUUGGUCUCACGAUUGUUUUUUAAAAUGAAUUUUAUUUGAAAAUAUAUUAAAAUAAUAUAUUUUUAUUUUUUAAAAUUAAUUUUGAUACUAACACGUAAAAAUGAUUCAAAAACAUAAAAAAAUUAUUUUUAAAAAAAAAUUAAAAAACUUUCCGCUCCCAUUUAAAAUAUAAUGCCAAACAGGGUUGUAGUUGCCUCACCAUUCAAAUUUGGUAUAACAUCUCAGGCUGAAGUUGUGCUAGGGCCUGCCAAAGAACUUCUAAUAUCGGCUUGCUCCUUUGCUUCUUUUACUAAAGCUAAUAAUUCCUCUCGAUCUUGGCCCACAUUGUUGCCUUUAGGCCCCUCCGGCCUUUUCGUUUGGGCCUGUGGUCUAGCUUCGGUAUUCUUUGGUUUGAUACUCUGACCCUUCUUAGGGCUUCAAAGUCAAUUCCUUUAUUUUAGCUGUCCAUCCUCGUAAUCAUUUAUGGUUCCAAGAUUCUCGGCACAAACAAUCUCUGCGCCAUUUGUUUCUUUAGUUUAGGGGUGUUCAAAAAAACCGAAUAACCGAAAAAACCGAGAAAACGGAUGGAAAAUUAACCGAGAAAACCGAACCGAGAUGAAAAACCGAUUAAACCGAUUACUAAAACCAAAAAAUCUUUCCGGUUCGGUUCGGUUCCCGGUUUCACCACCAAAACCGGUGAACCGAACCGGCUACCCAUACAAAAUUAAAAAUAAAAGCUGAAAGGCAGCAAAGCGACCUAGUAUAAAUACUAAAUGUUACAGUAAAGUGUAAAGUGUAAACCUAAACCUAAAAACAUUGCAAUUUACUUCUGCAGCCGCCGCCCACACCAGACCAUCCUUCUUCGAUUCUUCCUUUCCCCUUCAAUUUUCAUCUUCUCUGCCUCUUGCCCCCUGCAUCUAUCUCUUGACUCUCUUCUCUAGCUGAUCAAUAGUAAACAACCCAUAUCUCCGCAUCCAUCUAGUAGACUUGCGGUGGAAAAAAAACCCGAACAAAACCCCUUGGCGUCUCUCUUCACCUGCAGCAGAAAGAGUCAAAGAGGUAAAGUUUACUGUUUAUCCAUGUGUUCAUUCUCGUGUGCUUGUAAGUUUUACUUGUAAGUUGUAACAUUUUUUCCAUUAGAGAUUUCUGACCUCUGCUUCUUUUUCUAUCCUCUUGCAGCUAGGGUUUUUACAUUUUUCUGUUGAUUUGUGUUCAUUCAGGUUCGCCCCCCUUUCUCCGGCUCUCUCUCUAAUAUUUUUGUUGAUUUGUGUUGAUAUCGAGUUAUUGAUUGCUUUGUUUAGCAUUGUUAACUUUCUUUCCUUCAUUUUUAGAAUAGAAAUUGGUCCAUUACAGACUUUUUGCAAUUGAAAUUGGUCCAUUACAGACUUUCAGGUCCAUUGCAUGUGUAAUUUACAGUAUGUAGGUUUUUUAGAAUAAAGAGGUGAUAGAUGCCUUUUUGCAAUUAUAUGAACCUAACAUGAUGCUCAUUGCUCAACUUCUGCUUGAUUCUCAAUUGUAGUCAGAUGUUGAUUCAUGUUGUUGUUUUCUUAAUUUCAGAUGGAUAGUGGGGAAAAUCCUAGAUCGAAUGAGUCAAAUCCUUCAAGUUCAGAACCAAAUUCUUUGCCUAUUCCAGUUCCAGUUACUACCUCCAGCACAAACAGCAACACUGAAGAAGGUAAUCCAGCUUCUAGAUGUAAUAAAAGAAAAACAUCCCAAAUUUGGGAUCACUUUAAAAAACUAGAUGGUAAUGCUAAAACUCCUAGGGCUGCAUGUAAGUAUUGUGGAAAAGACUAUGUAUGUCAUACUAUACUUAAUGGGACUAGUAACAUGUGGAGUCAUCUAGGUGUAUGCAAAAAAUUUCCUUUUGUCAUUGAUCGAAAACAAAAAACUCUAGUUUUAGAACCUAAGCCUAAAAUAGAGGGGGGUGAUAAUGGAGAGGAAAAUUUGGUGACUGUUAAGGCAGUAGGUUAUAAUUAUGAAGAGUGUAGGAAAGCCCUUGGAAAAAUGGUUAUACUUGAUGAGCUACCUUUUAACUUUAUAGAAAACCAAGGAUUUAAAUCAUUUUGUAAAGUAAUGCAGCCUAGAUUUGAUGUUCCUUCUCGUUUGACGAUUUGGAGAGAUUGUUUGAAAAUUUAUUUAGUUGAGAAGGAGAAAUUAAAGAAAGCUCUUAAGGAUCAAUGUUUAUGUUUAACAACUGAUACUUGGACAUCAAUCCAAAAUAUUAAUUAUAUGUGUUGGACUGCUCAUUGGAUUGAUGAAGGUUGGAACUUGAAUAAAAGAAUUCUAAACUUUUGUCAAGUUUCUAAUCAUAAAGGUGAAACCAUUGGCCAAGCGAUUGAGAGUUGUUUAUUGGAAUGGGGAAUUGAUAAGAUUUUAACAGUUACUGUAGACAAUGCAAGUUUAAAUAAUUUGACAAUAAAAUAUCUGAAAAGAGUAACAAUUGGGUGGGCAACUAAUAUAUUGUCAAAUGACUUCAUGCAUGCUAGAUGUUGUGCACAUAUUGUUAAUCUUAUUGUAUGUGUGGGGUUGAAAGAUAUUGAUGAUUCAGUGGUUAAAAUUAGAAAUGGAGUAAGGUUUGUUAGAUCUUCUCCUUCUAGACAACUUGUUUUUAAUCAAUGUGCGGAAAGGUUGAAAAUUGGGAGUAAAAAAUCUGUUUGCUUGGAUGUUGCAACUAGAUGGAACUCUACAUAUAUGAUGCUAGAUGCGGCUGUUAAAUUUGAUGUGGUUUUUAUGAAGUUAGAAGAAACCGAUCUUAGGUAUUUGAGUUACUUUGAGGUUGAUUCACAAGGGAAACAAAAAAACUUAGGUCUUCCUGCAUUAGAAGAUUGGGAAAAGGCUAGAUCUUUUGUCAAGUUCUUGAAAUUAUUUUACACGGUUACAUUGAAAUUUUCUGGCUCGUUGUAUGUGACAUCUAAUUCUUUCUUCCAUGAAUUGAUUUCCAUGCACACAAGCAUAUCUCAACUUUGUAGAAGUGAAGAUGUUUAUGUAAGUAACAUGGCCAAGAAUAUGAUGGCAAAGUAUAAAAAAUAUUGGGGGGAUCAAGAUACACAAAACUUUUUGUUGUAUGUGGCUGUUGUGUUAGAUCCACGUUUCAAAUUGAAGUAUGUGAGAUUUUGUUUUGGAAGAUUGUAUGAUGUUGAAGAGGCUGGAAAUUUUACAACUAAGGUUAAAAAUACUUUGUUGAGGUUGUUUGAGCAUUAUAUGAAUGUUGAUGAGAAUGUUGAUGUUGUUCCUAGUGUUGGAACUAGUAUAAAUGAAAAUGUUAAUGUUGAUUUAACGGUGGUAAAUGAUGAUAUGGUGGAUGACUUAGCUUCUGAAUUCAAAAAACAUUUAGAGGAAGAAGGUUGUGUCAAAAAAAAAAAUGAGGUUGAGAGGUAUUUGGGUGAUGAUUGUGAGGAUCCUAAUGAUUUUAAAUUAGAUAUUUUGGGUUGGUGGAGGUGUAAUGCUACAAAAUACAAGAUUCUUUCUAAGGUGGCACAACAUGUGUUAGCUAUCCCGGUAUCUACAGUUGUUUCCGAAGCAGCAUUCAGUACUGGCGGUCGUAUAUUAGAUCCAUUUCGAAGCUCUUUAUCUCCAUCGACAGUGCAAGCACUUGUUUGUUGUCAGAAUUGGUUGAGUUUAGCACCAAUUCCAAUCAACAUUAGAACCUUCAUGGAUUAUAUUGAAAAUUCUGAGAUGAUUGAGUCAGGUAAUUUCUCUUACAAAUUUAAAUAUAGUUAUUUUAUAAUAUUGUUUAUUGACAUAUGUUUAAUAUAACAUUUUAAUUUAUGUUUUUGUAGAAUUUGGUGAAAGUUUAAAAAUCUCAACUGAUUGUUUGUAAGUAGUAUUGGUGGCUUGGUGCAAUCUUGGAAUAUAAUUGUUUUGGGUAAUUAAUUUACUUUACCUUGUUAAUUAUCCUUAACAUUUUGCAUACUUAAUUAUGUCAAUAGUUGAACUCUAAUAUGUUGCUAAUUUUCUAUUGUUUUUUUAUAGCAUUAUCGUUGCUGGAAUUUUUGGAUACUGCCAUUGCUGGAAUUUUUGGAUGCUGGUGACUGGUGUUGCUGGGUUUUUUUCUUCAAACUAUGCCGGAUGUUUAUGAUAAUUUAUUGCUGGUUGCUAAUGUAUUCGCUUGUUAAUGUUAACUUUUCUAGUGCGAACAAACUUUUAAUUUGAGAUGUUCAAAUUUGAUCAUGCAUCUUGCAUUGAUUUAUCACUCUGAGAAGCAUAUUAAAAGUCAGCUAAUUUGCAUUUGAUUUAAUUCAGGUUGCUAUAAAUUUUAAUGUAAGGCUAAGCCAAUUUAAAAAAAAACAAAAAAAAAACCCAUAUAUGAUAGGAUUAGGUUUCCCGGUUUUUUCCAAAAAAACCGGUUCAAACCAAACCGGAAAAAACAAAAAAAAACCCUAUAUAUUAAGGGAUUAGGUUUCCCGGUUUUUUUCCAAAAAAAACCGGAUCAAACCGAACCGGACCGGUUCGGUUUGAACCGGUUCCCGGUCCGGUUCGGUUGAUAUUUACCAAAAAUACUAAAAUUCGGUUCGGUUGGUUUUUUGCGUCUAAACCGAACCGAACCGAACCGUGAACACCCCUACCUUAGUUGAAUCCUGUAAACCGUGAAACGAGAUUCCAUUGCCGGACUGUUUCCUCCGGUCCUCUCCUGAAUAUUUAUCUCGUUACCAUUAAUUUUUAAUCUUUGAAUACCAACUAUAUCACCUUUAAGGAGAGUGUCUAAAAACCUCCACCGAAAAUUUAUAGUUAAAAAAUAUAUGUGAGAAAUAUAUUAUUUUUAUUUUAAAAAAUAAACCUAUAUUUUUAUUGAUGGUACGCUCCUUGAGGUGAUUCAAGUGAUAAUUAUAGAGGGAGUUUUUAGAAGAAACAUGUUUAGGAAGUGAUAUUAAAAUGUUUGCUUUGAUCACUUGAUAACUUUGAGUGGAUAAUUCUAUUUUAAUUUAAAGGAGUUAUAAAUUCUUAAAACACACAAAAUGAAAGUGGAUUGAUCCCUUAUAGGAAAAUAAUUUUACUUGAAAGGUCUUUCAUGCUGGUUGUUUUUGUAAAAAUAAAAAGGCCAAUGUUGUAGCAAAUUGAUAUUUUUUACCUAUAUGUGAUUUUUCAUAACUUAUUUAAAUUUGAGCAAGUGUUUGUCAGAUAAAGCAUAAAGUUUUCUUUAGAGAGCAUGUUCUUCUACUCCUCUUAUCAAGGCCUCUAAGGCUACAAGCUAAGGUUACAAGUUCAAGCAUUUCUUCCCCUUUAAACAUCUUUUCAUUAAACCUCUUCAAAUAUAUUUAUGUAAACUAACUCUCUUGUUGAAUAACAUCGAAUAGUUUUGUGAAGCUUUUUUUAAUAGGUAUGUUGGUGCUAAAGUGUGUCACUAGCUUAGUAUAGAGGUCAUUCAACCCUUCAUAUAUAGUUUGAGUGCAAAUUAUAAUACAAUGCACGUGUAUACCUCUAUAAAGUUGUGGGGGAGGAUUUUAUAUAUUGAAUCAUUAUUUUAGAUAAUCAAUUCUAAAUUAACGUGCAUAUUUUGCAUAUGCUGAUUAGCCAGGCCAUCAUAAAUUUCUGGAAGAUACUGAUCUUGUCACAAAAUAAUGCUAGCUACUAAGAAGAUACUGAUCUUGGCACAAAAUAAUACUAGCAACUAAGAAGUUUCCUAGCUGAUUAUACGAUACAACUUUGGGCCCAAGAAUAUAUAUCUAGUGGAGAUCAUUUCAUGAGCUCAAUCAAGCCAAUCAAGCCCUUCACUUUCCAGCAAAUGAAUCUUUAGACCUUUAAGUGACAACUAGGAAUAGGAAAAUGAAAGACCAGGUUGAUAAUUAGGGAAAUUCUAACCCUUUUACACGGCGUAAGCUAUAGCAAAACAGCAUCCUGUUCACCUUCUCAAAACCCCCCCCGGUUUCUUUCCUUGAGAAACAGUUUAUCACUCCUGUGGCGUAUGGGAUGAUGUCAAUAAGAAGGCACUUGUGUUCAAUUGGACCGAAUUUAAAUUUUUUAUAGGAGCUUAUUUUGCGGAAUCAGAUUAUGACGUUUUUUUUGUUUGACCUACCAGUCUAAUCUUGGUUUAAUGACGCUGCUUCAUAUACUUUUCUUAGGCUAAAUUUUCAGUCCAUUAUUAAAGUUUUCUCAAGUCAUUGCCAAUGAAAACAUUUUUCUCCUUCUGGACUGUGCAUAACUUCUAGCAGGAAAUAGAGAAUCUCUCGUUGCGAUUUCUGUCAUUGUCAAUUGUGCUUGCCUUUCUUCUUUGAGUAUUUUGCUAUAUCUACCUUUUAGUCCCUUUGCUCUAUUUAAGGAAGCAGCAUUGGAGGCCAUUUUUCAGAGAAUUAGCUCUCUAAAACGAAAGGGAAACUACUUCGUUAUAUACUUCGAAGAUGGUGCCGCAUGGGUUCAGGUUCAAUCCCACUGAUGAAGAGCUCAUCCAAGUCCUAGACAGAAAAGCUUCUGGCCAAGAAAUGCCACUUCAUUUCAUUCUCGAAAGAAAUGUUUACGAGCGUGAACCACAGGAUCUUGAAUGUGCGUAAUAUGCACUAUGUAUUUCUUUGUUCUACUGCAUAUAGGGCUCGUGAUUUUUCUUCCCUUUUCUUUGCAAUAAUGGUAUAGUGGAAAUGAUUUUUUCAAGCUUUUUUGCAUUUAUACUAUAUGGUACAAAUUUCAGGCUACCUAUAUAUUUUCUAGGGUUCAAGUUUAGAGGGAUAAUAUCAUAUUCCAUGAUCUUGUCCAUCCAUUGAAAUUUACAGUAUCAAUGUUGAGUUUAUGUUAGUUUCUAUAUACCUUACUAUGAUAACUGACUGCUUAAGUCAGAUCUCUUUAACAAUAUUGUUACAUGCAGGGAAUCAAACCGCUCCUUUAAGCAAUGGUGAGAGAUACUACUAUUGUACGAGGGAGACAAACUAUUCGAGGGAAGUACUCGGUCGAGGAUGGUGGAAAGCUACGAGCCAUGUCAAGAAAAUACAUGCUAAUAAUGAUGAUCAACUUCUUGUGGGGAACAAGAGGCCUUUAAAAUUCCAUAGGUUCAAGGACAAUGAAAGAAAUCGCAAUAAUGCCGUCAAGACUAAUUGGAUCAUGUAUGAAUACAGCCUUGAAUCAAGAACCACGGUACUAGUUUUAAUAUUUUUGCGUGCACAGUUCUAAGUUAGUUAGUCUUAAUUAAUUAUAUGCAUCUUCUUCUGUUUGUUUCAUUUGUCCUACUUUCAUUUUGUUAGGAUUGGAGGCUUUGCAAGAUUAAGCAUAAGGGGAAACCAAGCGUGCAAGAAGAGAUGGAGAGUAUGAGGGAACAAUAUUCAUCGAGGAAUGAUUUCGAAGCCGGUAGUUCGACCAAUUUUGUUGGUGGGCAACAGCAACAGGAACAAACCUCACUGCCUACAAAUUAUGAAGGAUACGAUCAUCAUCAAUCCUAUUAUCAAUGGAACAAUAUGCAGCAGUCACCACCAUCCCCAUAUGAUCCUUAUCUACCGGCACCACCGAGUACAAGUAGUGGUCACUAUUAUGUGGAGCAGCAAGAGAAGUUAGAGCCCAGUGAUGAGCACCCAUUUCCUAGUCUUUGGUCUUGGACGAACUAGGAUUUUGUUGCAUCUAAAUCCAGGUUGCUAUGAAUGUAAGAAAAAAUUGCUUGUGCAUGUUUAGGUAUAGGGAAGGAUGUCUCGUUGCCUUUUUGUUACUGUAGUCAUUAUUGCUAUGUUAGAAAUAAAUACGAUUGUUCAGUACUUGUUUAUCCUCUAUCUUGGUUCCCUCAUUUACUACGUACGUUGUACUUCUUUCUUGGUGCUAAAAAUUGUAGCCAUACCGAUUAACUACCCUUCAUACAUGCUAAAAUACAUUGAUGCUACUAUUUUGGUAAAAAUGGGGAAUAUCCUUUGUAGCCAAGUUAGGAUAUCAACAGAAACUAAAUACACAUUUGUUCAAACAAGAAUCAACAUCUAUUCAUUUUUUUUAUUUGAUAUUUGUUGUGAAACCUGCAACAAUAAUGAUGGAUAUUAUACAAGAAAGAAAACAAGAAAUUAAAAUACACAAAUUCAAUGUUGUUCAGCAAUAUUAUUUCUAUUGAUAUUCACAAGAAUCAUGAAUUUUAUUUCAUUAUAUGUCAAAUUAGAGUUAAAUAAUGUGUAUUUAUAGUAAAUCCCAGUCACUCUAGGGAUAUCAAUAAUUUUUAAUAAUAUCUAUUUAUCAUACCACGGGGGUGUUGGAUCCACACCCUCAACCUAUCAAUCAUUUCGCUGCCCUUGUUUUAAUGCAACAUUGUUUAUAAGCUACAAACUACAACGACAUUUAUAGAUAUUCUUGGAUCUACAUCAACUGAAAUUAAGUUCUCUAAUCAAACAACCUUAAAGAGAAACAUGUGAUCUAGCGUAAUAUAUUUUAAGGAUAAUGAAAAAAUAAUGUAAUUUUCUUAAAAGUUAUUGACAUACAAAAUUUUUUUUAUAGUGAAGUAUAGGUCACACUGUACUUAGCUAGGUUGUAUGUUUGUAAUACUUGUAAACAAACAUCAAUCAAUCGGCUACAUAGAUCUAAUUACAUUAGUUCCAACCCUUUUUAUUUUUACAAAAAGAAAUAUACUUUUCUUUUAAGUUUUUGACGUACAGUACAUUCGUAUUGUGAAUUAUCGGUUAUAAAGUUCGUAAUACUCUUACAUCAAGACUUUAAGUAUGAAUAUGUACAGAUAGAUCAAUUGAAUCCAUUGAGUGAAGGAGGAUUUUAAUAUUCAUAUUAACAGAUUUAAAUAUCAUAAUUCUCAUUCUCUUUAAGAAGUAACUUUUAGAUUCAGCUCUAAUUCGCAUUGUUGAAUUUUGCAGGGUCAAAAUUCACGCAAAUGAGUAAUAUUCCUACAUAUAACUAUCAAUCUAACAUCCUUCCAAUGAGUGUUGUAUAUAUGUACAGUGAAAAAUUUGAAUGCAUCCUUCCGUUCAUUCUAAUUUAGCUCUAGGAGUCAAAAGGUACGUGGAUUUUUGUUAGAUUUCAAUGAGUGAAAAGGAAACAAGAGCAAGCACCCAUGCAUGUACAAUCAUUGAUGAUGAUGGUCAAAAAAUACCUUAAGGCGACUGUAGAAGGUGCAUGGAAUAUGGAAAUGAAUGUGAGUGAUCCAAUCAUAACACAAGUGACUGUAUCCACAAAUCAUCUGUAAAAGUGUACUGGCUAGUAUUGUCAAAUACUAGCAAUAUUAGCAAAUAAUUCGUGUUCCUAGCUAUCCAACUGGUAGCCAACACGCAACCUUUACACUAACCCGAAAGACAAUAUUUGAUGAGUGGUUAGAGGGUAUAAUGAAAAGGAGAGAGACCUAAUGAUAGCAUCCUUAAUCGGGGAAUGUCCUCUUACACGCGCUAAUUAAGGUAUGAAACAUCCCAACACGUGAGGGAAAGGAGGGUGGUUUUAUUUUUCCUGAGUUCAAGAUGAUUGAAAAGACCCCAAUGUUGAUUGGAACAAGGAAUAGGAACAGUCGGUCGUCAUGGAAUAAGAACAGUGCUGGUGUAGAAAAUAAUAUUAAUUAAUUAUAUUUUGAGAUAUUUUUAAUAAUUUAAAUUAUUAGGUUGAAACGGUUUUUUUAACAUAAUAUUAGAAUUUUGAUAUUAAAUGGUUACAAGUUUGAAUUUCACCAUCUCUAUUUACUUGAUAAAAAUUAAACAUAAGAUAAUAUAAAUUUAUAUAAAUUUUAAGUUCAAAAUUUUUUCAUAAAAUAUAUUUAAGAAUAAUAUAAAUUAUAUUUUAAAAUUUUACUUAACAAUUUUAAUUAUUGCGACAAAUAAAAAUUCCAAUUGAUCUAUAGCUUGAUGCAAAGCUUGAAGGUUUCUUUAUAGCAGAUGUAGAGUGUGUUUGGUAUUGCGGUAGCUUUUGUGGUUGUGGUUUGAAAAAAGUUGUUUUAUAAAAAGUACUUUUAGUUGAGGUUGGUUUGAAAAAAUAGGUGUUUGGUUAAAACUGUAGUUGAAAUUGAGGUUGAAGAAAAAGUAGUUUAAUGUGUUUGGUUAAAAAAAUGCUUUUCAAAUUGAGGUUAUAAAAUAAUUAAAAUAUAUAUAUUAAAAUUGAUGAUUUUUAAUUUAAAUAUUGUAGAUUUAACUAUUACUAUUACUUCAUGAAAUAAAUAAUACUUUAUAUAAAAUAUUUUUUAUUAUGCCAUUAAACCAUCUACAAUUCCAUUACGUACAAAAUUCAUUCCACAAGAACUACAGUUUCUAUAAUUUUUUGAGCGUGCAAUAAAAUUAGAUAAAAUAUUAUCAGGAAUAAAAUUAAUUUGAUAUUACAGUGCGAGUGAAUUUAAUUCACUCUAUAUUAGUUUUUCAGGAAAAAAAAUAUUGUUUACAUGACAAUGUAAAACUAGUUUUUUUUAAAAAAAAUAUAUACAAAAACUAUACACACUAAAAAAAAAAAAUCACCCGAACAGUGCAAGUGAAUUGCACUGUUCACGGGAACAGUGCAAUUUACUUGCACUGUUCGAGUGAACAGUGCAAUUCACUUGCAUUGUUUGUGACAGUGCAAGUGAAUUUGCAGUGUUUGCGUGCACAGUGCAAGUGAAUUGCACUGUGCACGCGAAUACAAAAUUUAAAAAAGCAGCCUGGAGCUGCUUCGCCAAUGUCGCGUUCAAAACGUGAAUUGGCAUGGAUCCCACCGGUUAUUUUUAGCGUUUUUGAUAUUACCAAACGCUUGACUCUUGUGUUUUGAUUGAAACACAAUCUCUACCGCGUAAACAAACAGACUCGUAACAGGGUUGGUGUAAGUAAAACCAACCCUCAAUGCUCCUCCAUUCACCCUGGUGGCUUCAGAUAAAAGCCAUUGUGGUGCUUUAAAUGGCCUGGUACGAGUAGAUGUCAUGCCUAGUUUUGAUAACAUUAGCUUCUCGUGGAGGAGAACUAUUUUUGGGAUUCGUUUAAUUGCCAAUAUUCUUCUGUUUUUCAGCACAGUAUACAGAAUUUUAUUAGUUCAAGGAAGGACACUAUAGAUUCACAUGGAUUUCAACCACUGUUUAGAGCAACAAAUAAAAUACACAGAGGGACUGCACAAACAGCGUAGCAGUACUGUGGCCUAAAUGAAUCAAGAGGUGCGGAGGGAACCACAGUUCAUAGGAAAACAAAAUCAUGAAAUGGCAACAACUAAGUUUUUUAUUCAGCAGCAUGCCAAGAUUGAUACAGUCAAUGCAAUACCAAAAGGGGGCAUCCUUCAUGAAAAACAAAACCAUGCCAUCCAACAGGCACGUGUAGGGCCAACCGCUCAUGCAAAUGCAUAUACAUUUCCCAUGCAUCUGCUACAUCCAUGGCUAUUAAUGAAGUCAUUGAAGAACCACUUGCCUUAAAGUCCUUUGUAUCUACUGGGGCCAAGAAAACGACGUAACAAAAAAUUCAGACUCAAAACAAGUAACAAGCUGGAAAAGGCCCACAUGACAUGAGAAUUGAGAUAGAAACUACGAAGCUAUGCCAGCAUCAACACCUUCUUAGUCAUUCAUGUCAUAAAGAUAUUAAAUAGAAUCAACUUCAUAACAUCAUAGUAUCAAUUCCUUGAUUGCCUAUAUAGCACUAAAAUCCUAUCUCCUUUUAUAUGGCACAAAUACAACGAUUGAAUUUUAUCAUGUUCCUUUUCUUUUCCUGUUCUUCUUUCUAAGGAACAAAUACAUAAUCAAACAUGCAAUACAUUCACAUACUGCAUUAAUUAGAAGAUCACGUACUAACACAUAAAAGUAAUAAAAUCAGAUACCAAGAUGCGAUUUCUAGUGUUUUUCUAAAUCUCAACAACCUCUGCCUUAAAAGCAAGCAACUUGCAUUACAGAAAUUAAACAAAGAUCAAAACCUUAUCAUUAUAUACCAUAAAAAAUGCACCAACAAAAUACAAAAACUAAAAAAAACCCUAAAAUUUAAACACAGUAAAAUAACAUUCUCUUGCAUUGGCACAUCAACUUGUUGCAUAAUACAAAAACUAAAAAAAAACCCUAAACUUUAAACACAGUAAAAUAACAUUCUCUUGCAUUGGCACAUCAACUUGUUGCAUGCUGAAUUGAAAUGGUUCCUACGUACUGGGACUUCUUUCGAGUAUUUGGGCGAACUUUGGGAGCUCACUGUCAAGNNNNNNNNNNNNNNNNNNNNNNNNNNNNNNNNNNNNNNNNNNNNNNNNNNNNNNNNNNNNNNNNNNNNNNNNNNNNNNNNNNNNNNNNNNNNNNNNNNNNNNNNNNNNNNNNNNNNNNNNNNNNNNNNNNNNNNNNNNNNNNNNNNNNNNNNNNNNNNNNNNNNNNNNNNNNNNNNNNNNNNNNNNNNNNNNNNNNNNNNNNNNNNNNNNNNNNNNNNNNNNNNNNNNNNNNNNNNNNNNNNNNNNNNNNNNNNNNNNNNNNNNNNNNNNNNNNNNNNNNNNNNNNNNNNNNNNNNNNNNNNNNNNNNNNNNNNNNNNNNNNNNNNNNNNNNNNNNNNNNNNNNNNNNNNNNNNNNNNNNNNNNNNNNNNNNNNNNNNNNNNNNNNNNNNNNNNNNNNNNNNNNNNNNNNNNNNNNNNNNNNNNNNNNNNNNNNNNNNNNNNNNNNNNNNNNNNNNNNNNNNNNNNNNNNNNNNNNNNNNNNNNNNNNNNNNNNNNNNNNNNNNNNNNNNNNNNNNNNNNNNNNNNNNNNNNNNNNCUUUUUUUUGGCAUAGUGUAAUUACUAAAAUAUCCUUUGAAUAAAAAAAUCUAUAGCAAUGAUUGAAGGGCUUUGUAAUCUUUUUGUUAUGUUUUUUUUGGUUAAUAUUGUGUGGGAUCAUUAGAUUAAUUUUAACCAAAAAAAUUAUUGGUGCAUAUAAUCCAUUCUAGUAUGUGAAGCGGCUACAUCUUUUCAACGGUAAGUACGACUUUUCCUAGCUGUCAAAAUAGGCUGACUGUUGUCUCUUUCAAAGGUUUGGUGGUCGUUGAAUUGGCCGACUGUUGUCUCUUUCACAGGUGUGGUGGUGGUUGAAUUCUCCCUCUCUUUCUCUCUUUCUUCCCCUUGCAACGCACGCUAGUAUAGCCAAAAUUAAGAGAAGUCCUGGUUUCAUGAAAUUGAUGGUGCAUCCUUGGUGGUAUUUCCCCAUCGUUCAGCGUACGUUUUAUUUUUGAAAGCAACUGUCUGUUGCAAUCCCUGUACUGCUGCUUAUAAUCAUUAUGAUAUAAUUUUUCUAGCUCGUAAUAUUGCUCUUAAAUUUAAAUUCUUUACUUUAAACAUCAUUUUAAUAUCAUACUUUAUACAUCCAUUCUUGUUUUUCCAAAGUAAGAUUAUGUUACAUAUUUGCCCAAACAGAAAGGACUAUCUAACCUUAUUAUGCUUAUAUUAAGACUUCUUGGAAUCAUUGUAAUCCACCAUAGCUGAUAGGAAGGCAAUCUUUAGGCAUCAAAAGGCUUUCAACGCAAGCUUGUAUAAUACCCUUUAGUUUUUUUCUCUUGCUUUUAAAUGGAUGCAUGGCAUUCAUUUGGUGCCUGCAAAGACCCUGUUUUCUAGUGAGCCAUUUUUACAUAAUCAUGAUGACAAAUAAUUUCCUUGUUAAAACCAGUAUUUUGUUUAUAUAUUAAGUUUCUGUUGUCAGCUAUCAAGUGGGGAAACCAUCAACUGAAAACAGAUCUUUGUUCUUUGACCGUUUAAUUGAGGCUGCCUUAUCAGUUGUGGUGGAGGACGUGACCAAGAAAUCACAAGGAUCUGCACCCUUUCUUGAACUUCACAAGGCACAAAAAGUGGCGAGUGGCCCAAAGGCCUCAGAGUUAAAAGCCAAGAUAGAAGCUGAGCAGCAUGCUCUACGCCGAAUGCGCAUGUGCCUCUUCAUGCAACAAGAAAUUUUAAAUUUUUGAUUGUUGUUUCACUUUGUAGCAUUAUUUAAAUGGUCUCAAUUUAGUCCAGCAAGUGGGUUCUAAUAAAAUGCAGUCGUCAAAAUGAUGUGAUUUUACUGCCUUAAUGCAACAAGAAAUUUUUAUAUUAAUACUGUAGUUGUAGUUUAAAUCACAUUGAAAUGGUCUAAACAAAACACAGAUAUGGUAGAGCUUGGUACUUCAAAGCAAUGCAAUAAGGAAUUUGCUUCUUCAUGCAACAAGAAAUUUUAAAUUUGGAUUGUUGUUUCACUUUGUAUCAUUAUUGAAAUGGUCUCAAUUUAGUCCAGCAUGUGGGUUCUAAUAAAAUGCAGUCAUCAUGGAGCAUAUUUCAAUUCUUCUAGUUAAUUAAAGCCAAAUGCAGAUUGUUAAAAAAGUUGGUGAGCUUGGAAUUGGUUCUCCUAUGCCUUUCCCGUAGGCAAUACCCAUGACACUCUUGAAUCUCUUAUCUUUUGAACAACAAUCUGCAUUUGAAAGGGCGAGUAGACUGUAUGUCUCUGUUCACUCGCACGUGAGAGAGAGGAGGGGGGUUUCCUAGCAAGAUCGUCUGGUAUGUUGGUUGCAUUUGAAAUUACAUCACCCUAUGAUCAUCCCACUCAAUUGGUUGUUACAGCACAUGUUUCUUGUUACAUACAAGCUGGUUGUCUCUGUCCAGUAUUUGUGCUUCCUUUCACUGUUUACACUUAACAUUCUAACUUCUUUGCUGCAGGAUGUUGUAUGACAAACGAUUUAGUGCCUUCCAUUAUCCUGUCACUGACGAGGAUGCUCCAAACUAUCGCUCUAUAAUCCAGAACCCUAUGGACAUGGCUACCAUGCUGCAGCGUGUUGACUCUGGUCAAUAUAUCACAUGCUCAGGAUUCCUGCAAGACAUUGAUCUCAUUGUGACCAAUGCAAAGGUGUGUUUUGUUCCUAGCUUCAUUUAAUUCUAUUUCUAGGUUCUCCUUCCAUUGAAUAAUUUAACACCACUAUACCUCUGGUCAGUGCAUCUAUUUCAUGCUUAAAUUUGGCGUGCAUGUCUCUAAUAUAGGUGUACAAUGGAGAUGAUUACAAUGGAGCUAGGAUUGUCAGUAGAGGUUAUGAGCUUCGGGAUGCGGUAAGUUUCCAUGCCUUUUGGUUUUCUAUGAUUUUUCCUCUCAUUUUGUCCUAUCACCUAAAGCAUCAUUUGAUGAAUCCCUUUUCAUAAUAUUUUACAGGUGCAUGGAAUGUUGUCACAGAUGGACCCUGCGCUUGUCACAUACUGUGACAAGAUUGCUGCUCAAGGGGGUCCUGUACAAAUACCAGAUGAUUUAGGGGGAUCUAUUUUCCCUUCAACCCCAGUUGUGCAGCUUGGAACUGUUACUAGAACAAGUGCCAGGCUACGCAACGUCCAGCCUGAUGUUAAUCUGGAUCAAAGCUACGAGGCCUUGAAAAGGCAGAAGAAAAAUGCUGAUGCUACUUGUGCUGGUAUGUUCAUUGGUAAUGCUAUAUACUUUGUCCUUAUGAUAUUGCUGUUCGUUUUUCCCACCUAUCUGAAUGAUGUCUUGAAACAUGUCAAGUUGCAAGACACAUUUUACAUGCUGAAUUUUGGUGCGGAUACUGAUGUAAUAGAUCAGUAGCAAGUAAAACUAAUCUCAGCUACCGACUUCUUGUAUAAUAGACUUGACCUGUUUGUAGUUCAUGUUUUCAAAUUUCAUUUCCUUGUUAGAAAAACCUCUCGUAAAUAUUGACAAUUAAAUCCUGAAGCCAGAAAUCUGAAUUUUUCUAUUCAAUACAUGAAUUUUAUCUCACAGCCCAUAUUCCGAACUAGCAUUCUCUUCAGCUCGUGUCCUUUAUCUGAAGUUUUUAACUCCUAAUUUUCCUAGAUUUGUUAUAUUUAAUGUUAUCCUUUGACUGAACUAUUUAAUUUUCCAUGAUCGCUCUUCGGACACAACUCUCUGAUCAUUUUAUACUUUUCAUGAAAAACAGCUUCAACAGCAGAAGAUAAAUCACGGCAUCAGGAUUCAGUACAGGCAAAGCCGCCAGAGGAAGCCGGGGCAGAUGAUAUGAAUCCAGACAGACCUGAGUCCUCUUCAGCCGAUGACAGUCGACAUGAAACUUCAGGAGGAGAAGCUUCUGGUCACACCGAAGGGAGUGGAUCCCAAGAUGUUACAAUGUCAGAAGCCGAAGUAUCAAGCCACGUGGAUUACAUCAAGCGGCUUUUCGUGGAGCGCACAGAAAAUUAUGGCAUGCCACUGCUUGAAAGGCUCUACACUCGUAUAAUGAAGGGAAUCUUCGAAACCAUGGACAAAGGAGUUGAAGAUGGCCCCAGAUACUCAAUUUUGAGGUUUUUGGUGAAAUUUGCAGAGAACACUGCAAACUUCUGAACUCAAUACCUUUUCCCCUUAAACCAGAGGAUAAAAGAAAAAUGAAAAAGGAACCCAAAAAAAAAAGAAAUCAUGCAGGUAGCUGAUGUAAAGUCGGGAUUUUCUUUUCAAUGCAAAAAAAUUAGAGUGAAAGCAGUCUCUCUCUCUCGCCCCCCCCCCCCCCCCCCCCUCCCAGAGUACAGUUUCGAUAAGCUUAUUUGACCUCACAAGCUGUCAAGCUCCAUGGUAUUGUUAUGGCUGGUGGCAAAUCCAAUGUGGCAUUCUUUUACAGGGAGGACUAAGUGGGAUCUUUUCUGAAGCAGACACAUCAAGAAUUGGGUUUGAAUCUCAGCAAAAGCAUCGCUGGUAUAAAUUAGACUCUUUCUGAUUGACAAUAUUCUUGAAUAUUUUUUCAUAUUUUCCAAGAUGUUUGUUUAAUAUCUUCAACUUCAAACUUACUCAGAGAGAGAGACAGGAGAAGAAAG